GGGUUUAGAACGUCGUGAGACAGUUCGGUCCCUAUCUGCCGUGGGCGCUGGAGAAUUGAGGGGGGCUGCUCCUAGUACGAGAGGACCGGAGUGGACGCAUCACUGGUGUUCGGGUUGUCAUGCCAAUGGCACUGCCCGGUAGCUAAAUGCGGAAGAGAUAAGUGCUGAAAGCAUCUAAGCACGAAACUUGCCCCGAGAUGAGUUCUCCCUGACUCCUUGAGAGUCCUGAAGGAACGUUGAAGACGACGACGUUGAUAGGCCGGGUGUGUAAGCGCAGCGAUGCGUUGAGCUAACCGGUACUAAUGAACCGUGAGGCUUAACCUUACAACGCCGAAG
rnacentral:rRNA from 1 species